AUGGUUAAUAUUAAUUUGUGUACUUACUUGGGCAUAUUCCUCUCUUCCUCCAUGGUUAUUGCAUGUGAGAGGCUGCUCCCUGUGUGUGGAUUAUUUAACAGCAGUGAAGCCACUCCCUCAGUGGGCACUUCUACAGGGUGCCACUGGUUUCACAUCCCUUCACAUCCAUUGGGUUGUGACCAUCGAGAUGGUUGUUUAGACAGCUCAUAGGACACAUGGUGUCAAUUUCAGCUCAAUGGAAGAAUGAAGAAGCUGUGACGAAGCUUAGGCAAGUCUUCUGAAGAAAUACUUGCAGUGAUUUCUAAGUUCUUCAUGGAUUUUCUGUGGCUCCAUCCCCACCCAACCCCAUGGAAAAAUUCAGGUGGCAAUUCUCCUGAAGUACUGAGAGUUACAGACUCAUGAUGAAUCAGAUCCACUGGAAAAGGCCUCAACAUGGUUAUUCUUUCAAAGGCCUUGCCUUAUCAAUCAAUCAGACUUCAUUUGUAUAGCACUUUUCAUACAAGCAAAAUGUAACAACAAAGUGCUUGACACAUUAAAACACCCACACACACAUAGAAUGAAAUAAUAAGCAACAGAGCAAUCGCUAUCUCAUCAGGUUGCAGUGAGGAAACACUGGAGGCAGAAUCAGAACAAGAUUAAACUACGGAUCAGAAAAGGAUUUACCAAAUAAAACUGAGCCAGAUGUACAAAUACCUCAACAAAGUAAUAAAACACGUAGGUACACAAAAUAAACACAGUUAUAAAAAGGAAAAUGAUUAAAAUGUAUGAACAGAAAAAGGGGUUAAAACUGACAAAUAAUAAUAAUAAUAUACAGAUAAACAGAACAGUUCAAGUCAUUUUACAUUUCUUCAUGGAUUUUCAGCGACUCCGUCUGCCCACGCCAACUUGGAGCCACUCAGUCACGACUUUCUCUUUUACAGUUAUAGUUACAAGAAGAUUUUAAAGGGAAAUGGAUGUGAUAUCGGAAAAAAAACAAUAACUAGAUAGUGACAAGGAAGAAAGGAG
rnacentral:lncRNA from 1 species